UACGUAGGGGGCAAGCGUUGUCCGGAUUCAUUGGGCGUAAAGAGCGUGUAGGCGGCCAGGUAGGUCGGUUGUGAAAACUGGAGGCUCAACCUUCAGACGUCGACCGAAACCAUCUGGCUAGAGUCCGGGAGAGGAGAGUGGAAUUCCUGGUGUAGCGGUGAAAUGCGCAGAUAUCAGGAAGAACACCCGUGGCGAAAGCGGCUCUCUGGAACGGUACUGACGCUGAGACGCGAAAGCGUGGGGAUCAAACAGG
rnacentral:rRNA from 1 species